AUAAGAAGUAAUAUAGGGCAUAAAGAUCUCAUUUUCAAGCUUUUAGAAUCUAGGGUUUCUCUGUGAGCAGGCAGCAACCCUCUCUUAAAGGUAAGUCAUGG